rnacentral:lncRNA from 9 species
GGGCGCGCGGUCGAUCGAGCGAUCGGUUGGCGGCUCUUUCUCCUGCUCUGGCAUCCAGCUCUUGGGGCGCAGGCCCGGCCGCCACGGCGCGCGCCCGGUGGCCGUUGGCGUUCGCGCCGCGUCUUUCUUCUCGUACGCAGAACUCGGGCGGCGGCCUAUGCGUUUGCUAUCCGACGAGGAGUCGUCCGGGUGGUCGGCGGCGGCGGGCAGUUGCUCCGCCCCGCUCCUGGGGAGGCGGCGGCGGCGGCGGCGGCGGCGGCGGGAUUUGGCACGGCCGGGGAAGCUGGGGUGGCCGGGGCCGGCCUGGAGGCCUGGCACCACCCUUCGGGGCCUGCAAGGACCCAAUUGGGGGGACAGGAGGGAGCCGGGGGAUGGUUGGUGGUGGGCUUUCUACUUUGUCUUUUCCUCCUUAUGCCGCCUUAGUGAGGGGCGGGAGCGCUGGAGGCCGCUCCGGGGUGGAGAGACAAGCUCCGGAGUCGGAAGAGCUGGGUUUGCUUCCGGGCCUAACCACCAGCUGGCCGAGUGACCUUAGGCAAGUCACUCUGUAAUUUAUCUGCGCCUCAGUUUCCUCCUUCUCCAUCAAUGUUUGUGGGAUUGAAAGCGCUUUGUAAACUGUAAAGCGUCGCUGUAUGUAAGGGAUGAUUAUUGUUCGUAAUGGCUUGGUUUUUUGUUUUUUGGUUUUUUUUUUUUGGAGUUGUAAGAAAACUUAGAAAUUGCCCAAUCCUUGGAUUUUGAACCUGGAAACCUUGGAUUGGAGGUGGAGAUCCCCAAACUCCUUGAAAUUGUAUGCAGAAAUUAGGGGGAAUGUGCAUUUUAGAGAAUGAGAAGCCAUCGCCAGCAAGUUUUCAUUGGGGGCUGUGACCCAGAAGAAUUAAGAACCACAUUUCCUUUGUCACAAGGAGGAAACUGAGGCCAGAUGUCAUUUGGGACCCUUCACAACCAAUUCGAAGCCCCUGUUUGAAUCCCUGAGAUAUGUGAGCUGUUCUGUGCAUAGUGGAUAUUCGUGGUAACAACACUCCACUUCUUGGCUUCUAUUUUGAGUUCUUUCACCAUGGGUUGCCUAAAGGGUGACUGAUGCUUAAAGGUACAGUGGCACCCAGCAUAAAGCAGCUAAAACUGGGCAUGGAUAUGUUCUCUAGUAUCAAGAAGCUUAUUUAAUCUUUGGCCCAACAACUUUUUUUUUUCUGGUGCCUGACUACCUUUCUGACUCUUCAUUGACCAUUUUCUAUGACCAUGGUUGCCAUCCGUUACUUUCCCCUAUUUUAUAUUCCUAGUCUGUGUGGUUGGUAGUGAGCAGGCUUAUUUUUAAAUGGUGCUGCCAAGUCCAACUAAUUAAUGGUGCAGGUGGAUUUUUAGCAAGCUGGCUCACUAGAACAGACUGAACCAGGCAUGGAAUUCUUGAAAAUGUUUGGGGGGUUGAGUCUUUAUUAAUUGAAGGUUAACGUUUUCUGAGAAGUUUUGUUAGAAUUUUCUGCUGAACCUCAAAAUCAGAUUGAAAGUGUUUCAACCUUAAAUUUUUUCUGGUCUGCUUUGUAUUCUAUUUGCUUGCAAGUGUGUUACUAAGAUGGCCAAAAUGCCAGUUUUUGCUUCUUUGUUAAUUGUCAGCUGCUUUUAUCAAAUAUCAGGCAGUUAUCCAGCAAACACUAUAGAAAUGUUUGAACAGUUGGCUUUCAAACAUUUUCAUUUUGUGGAGUGGUGCUUACCAUUGGUACAGCUCUAAGCAAGCAAACGCAAACACUUUUAAGUGUAUUUUGUCUGUUAGGUGUUAGCCGGUUCUGCUAUUUCAUACAAAUGUCUGGAAAUCAAUUGACUAUUCCCUUUACCUAGAGGGCAGAGACAAAUGAUCUCAAUUCCAGAGAAAUGACUGUUUUGGAGAAAACUGUGUUGGUCUUUUAGCUCUUUUGUAAUUAAAUCUGGAUGUACCUCAAAAGAAUCUUAAGACUGGUGAUAAAAUGCUUUCCUCAGGAGAAAGGAGGAAAAAAACCAACUGGAACUCAAAGCUUGAAAUUCUUUGACAAACAUAAGAUAUCCAGGAUGGGAAGUUGAAAGGGUUUCACUACAUAGCGUUCUGCACUAGCUGGAGCAGAUGUCUUUCAGUGUGGUUAUGGCGUGGACUUCAGAUUUUCAAGAACUGGAUCUGGGACCUGGAAGAAUUAUCAAGAUGUGACACGAAGUUGGGAGCUGGAUUUUUUUAUUUUUGAAUUUAUGGACUCUUGUCCUUGCUUUGAGAAAAGACAAUGACUGAGCAAGCACUGCCACCAGCGCUGUUACUGGGAAUUCGGAGACCUGAGUUUUUGCCAGAUCCUCGGUGCAAACUCUGGCGACGCUCCAUCCAAAGUGAAAAACGUCUUGUGCCUCCUGGUUGCCGAGUAUUCACCUGGACCUUCUAACCACCUUCCUUGAGCUAUUCCAUCAGCCUUCAUAUCUGUACCUGGAAUUUUGCCCAUGGUGAUUCCUGCCACCUUACUACUGAAGAAGACAACCAUGCCAGUGAACCACUGUGACUCGAGGCAUCCAGCAAAUUUGAAUCAUCAUCAUGUGGCCUUCACCUCCACUCCUGUCCUGUUCUACCCAGAUUCAACACAGCCCUUUGUAGUGAAGUCAAACUCCUCAAGCCAAAUAGCUGAAGCUGUUUUAUCACAAUUAAGGCUCAGUUUGUUCCAUGAGUGUGCUUUCGUUUCUUCAGUUAAAGCCUUCAGAGACACAUAAUAAAUUUGGACCAGGGGAUUUUAGUUAUCAACACUGUCUGAAGAAUGGCACCAUCUUUUUGAGAACCACAUUGAACCCCGCCCCAAAAUCUCAAAUGAUUGAAGUUCAUGAAGUAUCUAAGAUCCCAUCCAAGUCACUGAACUCUGUUUUUCCAUUUCAAAUCUGUAGUAUCCUACUGAAUAAGCAAGCAGAUAUUCUGACCGUUUGGGAUUAAAACAAAGGCACAGUGAACUCAGAGCAUCCUUGGGAUUACUCAGGAACCAGAACUUUUCACACAAAUCAUUUUGUGAACAGCUUAUUCUUAGAUCAUUGGUUUUCCAAAGGCUUUGUGGCCAUGAAGCCCUUUGAAUGAAUGCUAUACGGAAGACCAGAGUUAAAGUGAAGCUGCUCUGGAAGAAGCAGAAGUGGGGGGCCUGAAACCUGCCACAAGCAUCUUACUUUACCACCAUGGUGACACCUCAGGAGACUUCUUUACAGCACCUAGAAUUCUUCAGAACACAGUUUGAAAACCACUGCCCUAGACGACAUUGUGUUCAACUUGAAAGGCAUUCUGUUCUGUACCUCUACCCAACACCAUCCAUGUUCAGUUGAUGUUCAACAUCAUUAAGAAUACUUAACUGUGGGUAAACUCAGAAAAGUACAAGAAGAUGGGCAUAUCUUUGCCCAUCUGCCCUUUGCCCCUAGAUGGACUUCCAGUGAUUCCUAGAAUUGGAUAUAGCUAGAGAGCAAUUCAUACAUACUCUACACUGAUAAACCCCUUUACCCAGUUUCUUUUUAUAAACACCAGAUACUCUAGUGGUACUUGAAAUACAUGACCUCGAAGUCUUAAUCCUCCUUGGAUACAUGAAUGACGUGGUAUUGAAGUUGAUGCCUCAUUGAGGUCAUAUUCAACCAACUAUACAUUGGACCUCCUGUCAUCAGCCAUGGUACUCUACUUUGUGUGCAAGGGAUAACCAUUAACUGUGAAAGUAGAAUUCAAAUAUUGGCAAUGUUACCUAAAAGGGUACAUGGUUUUAUUCACCUUCUCAAACUAUAAGUUACUGUCACUCAACCAGUGGCAGUUACACUGCUCCUUGGUUUUUAAUUCAGUUUGAUUGCUGUUUCCAGGAUUUAAUGAGCUAAUAAUCCUUAAGAAAAAUUGCUAAAACAAUUCCUCCAUCACUGGCAUAUCUGCCUAUUCUGCUCUAAAAUUACAAUACUCAGCUCAACUACAUGUAACACCUGAUCCACAGGAGACAAUAUCUGAACAUACUUUCUUGUGAUUUAAAAUGUGGCCAUUUGCAAAACUUUCUUCCAAACAACGGGAGAUUUUAAGAUGGGUCUUUUAAUGUUUCUUCCAAACAACUGUAGAUGUUAAGGAUAUUUGGAGGUAGGCCUUUUGACCAGGCCACAGUAGCUUACUCGGAGGGCAUGUCAGAUUGCAUGUCAUCUACCUUUUUGCUGGAAAUGUAGACCAACUUGAAAGAAAAUCUGCAAAGCCUGUGGCUACAGAUUUUAUGAGUAGACUCAAGAGCUUCCUGAUGCUUCUUAAUGUCACAAGACCACAGUCCCUUAUCCUUAUGGAUAUUUCCAUGGAAUUUCAUCUGUCUCAAUACUGUUUUACACUGAAUCAGAGUGGCUGACUUCAUUCCUCGUCUUGAGAUACUCUUGGGCAUUAAGACAACCCAUAUGUCUCUGCAGGAGGGAUUCAAUUAAUGAACUCCCAGACCAGAUCAUGUAGAACAAGUAGACUUCACUUUGUGUCAUGAGAAAAAAAAAAAUCUCAUUUCUUUACUUCAGAGUCAACUUAAGGGCCAGCUGUCCUCAACUACUUUAAUGAAUGCACUGGUUAAAUGUUGGGAAUGGUUUCUUUAUAUCUUUGUCUCAUCCUCUGUACUAACUGACUCAGUCUUCAAAUCAUCAAACAGGGCCUAAGUCUGAUUACUCUGUACUGCUCAACCCUCAACAAAUUAAAAUCUGAUGACCAGCCUGCUUGUAUAUGCAACUAUUAUUUGUAAAGAAGAAGCUUAUCUGCAGACUCAUUGUUUUCUACCUUGAAAAUGUCAGCUUGACUUUCCUUUUCUCCUGUACUUGACAGAAAAAGACAUUGAUCUACACUGCAAGUCAUUCCUUUCAAUCCUGUCAAAAUGAGGGACCUAAAAUGAAAAUGAUCAUCUAUUCAAGAGUCUGAUGUACACUGUGUAUAGGAAUUGAUGAUUCAAAAAGCCUAAAACUCAAACCUUUUAUCUUCAUGCCUCAAAUCUCAUCUAAAUCUUUUAGCAGUACCAUUCAACCAGUCUGAGGCCUUGAUGUCCUUGUAAGACGAUUCUCAAGAGAUGUGCUGAGUUCCAGAAGAUGGAGACUUGAUUACCAAAGAAAGUAGGGCCAACCUUGAUGAACCUGGCUCUCCCAACCCUGUCACUCCCAGAUGUAGCAUAGACUCCUAAACAGAACCCUCAAGUCUGUAUCGAGGAUAUAACCCUCUGAGCUGAAAGAUCUUGGGCAGAUGAGCAGGAAAAUGAAAGUUGCUGUACCUGACUGGCCCAGUAUGAUCAGAAAAUUGUAUCCAGAGUAAACCCUAUGGAUUAAUAACCCUGGAGUACUCAGGGUAAAAACUAAUUUACAGAGCUUUGAUAUUAAACUGCCUGUUCUUCCAGAUCAUAGCCUGGCUAUUGAUAUGGCUGGCCCUGCUUGCCUCUUUACCUAACUCAGCCCUUGCCUGCCUUUUUGACUGCAGUCCAACUGGCUGUGCUUGAUAAAACUACAGCUGAUCUCAACCUAUCUUAUACCCAGUUCCACCAAGGAGUUUUGAACAGAAGCACCCUGCACCCCACCAUGACUUAGUGUUCACUGCAGGAAGGAGCAUGCUUUUUUUUUUUUUUUUUUUAAUUUUAUCUUUUUUAAUACUUGGGACCCUUUCUACUAGGCCUGGAGGAGUACAGCAGAUUGAAAGCAUUGCCCAUUCUCUCUUCUACAGUAAUACAGAGAUGAAGCUGAUUCACCAGGACUCACAGAAAUGUACCGAUUCAACUUGGCAAAAGACAUGAACACAAGAAACUUUUCCACUAAACUUAAAAUUCGCCACUGACUUGAAUAGCCUCAUAGAACUAUUUGCCAGUAGAAGGCUGGUUGUCCUGCUUCAUGUCAGCAAGACAGCUGGACUCUCACACAUGACCACUGAGUUUGCUUACAUCGAAACUGUUGUAUCAUUCAAAGUAUCUACUGGACAUGAUUAUUCCAUUCAAAUGGAUUACAAGCUUCGAGUAGAAGACAGACUUACUCCUCAUGAUUUUUUCCAGAAUGCUCCUAUUGUCAAGGAAGUCUACACCAGCUGUUAACCAUUCAACUCUAUGAGCAGAGAUUAAAUUUUUUCAAUAUCUGUUCUUAUCGUUGACAUCAGUUGUUUUUGAUUGACCAACACCUAUUCCAUCUCUUUAUAAAUAAAAACAACUCCCUGAUGCUUCUUGGAACCACCUCUCUCUUUUUCAAUUCAUGUGGUUCAGUCUGACCUAACCUUAGGUUUCAUGGGUGGACAUGUAAUUCAAACCUGAUCAGUCAGCAAAAUCCAUCUCCUUGACCAUAGUGAUUGGUUCAGGAAUGAUCAUGUGAUUCAAGUUGGUCCAGUGAUUACUUAAUCCUGAGAGUUUUAGUGAACUGUGUAGGAGAAGCUCAGAGGCUGUUUACUGAGGUUGCUUAGCUCUGUAGGAUGAAAAGCUCAAACCAACAGGGCCUACCAUAUCAAAUAAGCCAGUCAGAGAAUGAAGCCAGUGCAGAGGAAGGCGGAGCCAAAUGAUGGAGAGACUUAAGUUCUGAUGAUAAUUUUUUGUGCCCCUGGAUCCAACCGUGCCUGAAGCUAGAAUAUCCCCUGGACUUUUCAGUUAUGUAAACCAAUAAAGACCCUUUUUUGCUUAAGUUACUUUGAGUUUGGUUUCUAUUACUUGAAAUUGAGUCUGAAUAUGCUAUCUACCAAUAUGGAAGUUUGACAGAUCCAAGUAUUAAUUAAACUAGAGGUCAAGGCCACACUGAAAUUAUUUUUCAAUCUAGAAGAUAAAAAAAACAGGAACUGACAAUGUUUUAUGUUUACAGAGCAUAAAAAUUAAUUACAUGGUAGAAAAAAUACAGAAGAAAACCUAAAUGUUUAUCAGUGAAGAAUUGGUUAUGUACCACAUGGCUUAGCCAUAUAAGAAAAUCGACGUGUCUGUUAAAAUGAAUAAAGUACAUUUAUUGUGUAUGGGCAUGGAAAAAUGGCCAUAAUAUAUUAAGUGAAACAAACUUGCUAGAAAAAUUUGUAGUAUGAACUCAUUUAAGAAUUUGUGUGUUUAUGUUCAUAAUGCAUAGAAAAGUCUAUAAAUGGCCUUUUUGUGAACAGUGUAGAUUACAUGGAACUUUCAACUUUAUACAUUUCUGUAUUUGAAUAUUUUACACUACUCACAUUACUUUUAAACUUUAUUUAAAAAUAAAGAAUUUUUAAAAU